CCUACGGGUGGCAGCAGUGAGGAAUAUUGGUCAAUGGCCGAGAGGCUGAACCAGCCAAGUCGCGUGAGGGAAGAAUGUCCUAUGGAUUGUAAACCUCUUUUGUCAGGGAGCAAAGUCACCCACGUGUGGGUGUUGGAGAGUACCCGAAGAAAAAGCAUCGGCUAACUCCGUGCCAGCAGCCGCGGUAAUACGGAGGAUGCGAGCGUUAUCCGGAUUUAUUGGGUUUAACGGGUGCGAAGGCGGUUUCUCAAGUCAGCGGUAAAAUCGUGGAGCUCAACUCCAUCCAGCCGUUGAAACUGUUGGUCUUGAGUGUGUGAGAAGUAGGCGGAAUGCGUGGUGUAGCGGUGAAAUGCAUAGAUAUCACGCAGAACUCCGAUUGCGAAGGCAGCAUACCGGCGCCCAACUGACGCUGAAGCACGAAAGCGUGGGUAUCGAACAGGAUUAGAUACCCGGGUAGUC
rnacentral:rRNA from 1 species